rnacentral:ncRNA from 3 species
UACGUAGGGUGCGAGCGUUGUCCGGAAUUAUUGGGCGUAAAGGGCUCGUAGGCGGUUUGUCGCGUCGGGAGUGAAAACGCCGUGCUUAACACGGCGCUUGCUUUCGAUACGGGCAGACUAGAGGUAUUCAGGGGAGAACGGAAUUCCUGGUGUAGCGGUGAAAUGCGCAGAUAUCAGGAGGAACACCGGUGGCGAAGGCGGUUCUCUGGGAAUGACCUGACGCUGAGGAGCGAAAGUGUGGGGAGCGAACAGG